rnacentral:rRNA from 1 species
CUCCUAAGGCUAAAUACUCUCUAGUGACCGAUAGUGAACCAGUACCGUGAGGGAAAGGUGAAAAGCACCCCGGAAGGGGAGUGAAAUAGAACCUGAAACCGUGUGCUUACAAGUAGUCAGAGCCCGUUAAUGGGUGAUGGCGUGCCUUUUGUAGAAUGAACCGGCGAGUUACGAUUUGAUGCAAGGUUAAGCAGUAAAUGUGGAGCCGUAGCGAAAGCGAGUCUGAAUAGGGCGUUUAGUAUUUGGUCGUAGACCCGAAACCAGGUGAUCUACCCUUGGUCAGGUUGAAGUUCAGGUAACACUGAAUGGAGGACCGAACCGACUUACGUUGAAAAGUGAGCGGAUGAACUGAGGGUAGCGGAGAAAUUCCAAUCGAACCUGGAGAUAGCUGGUUCUCUCCGAAAUAGCUUUAGGGCUAGCCUCAAGUGAUGAUUAUUGGAGGUAGAGCACUGUUUGGACGAGGGGCCCCUCUCGGGUUACCGAAUUCAGACAAACUCCGAAUGCCAAUUAAUUUAACUUGGGAGUCAGAACAUGGGUGAUAAGGUCCGUGUUCGAAAGGGAAACAGCCCAGACCACCAGCUAAGGUCCCAAAAUAUAUGUUAAGUGGAAAAGGAUGUGGCGUUGCCCAGACAACUAGGAUGUUGGCUUAGAAGCAGCCAUCAUUUAAAGAGUGCGUAAUAGCUCACUAGUCGAGUGACACUGCGCCGAAAAUGUACCGGGGCUAAACAUAUUACCGAAGCUGUGGAUUGUCCUUUGGACAAUGGUAGGAGAGCGUUCUAAGGGCGUUGAAGCAUGAUCGUAAGGACAUGUGGAGCGCUUAGAAGUGAGAAUGCCGGUGUGAGUAGCGAAA